UCAAAGUGCUAUUUGCAAACCACCUGUCUCAUGUGAACCAUAUGGCAGCAGAUGCUCCCCCACAACAGCUUAUUUUCAAUGUAUUCAUCUCUCAAAAAACACAAUAAUAUAAACAUGAAUUUGGUCAAAACCAAGUCACUGACAGAAGUUGAAUGUCAAUUAACACACAAUAUAUGCCCUAUGAAUUUCUUGUGGUAGUGGAUGGUGUGCACCUCUGUGUGGACAGGUUCACCACAGACAUCUCUGCAGCUGUGGUUCAGGUAGUAUGAUUGAGCACAGCUCACCUGUAUCUCUGGUAGUCUCCGUGUCUGAGGCCAUGUUGCUGCUGGGACUCCUUGAUUAUUUGCAAAACUGGAAAUCAAAGUUAAGCUCCACAGUGGCUCCUUUGCCAAUGUCUAAAGCCACUUUGACUGGAGCCAACACUGGGUGCAACCUCAGAACCUAAAGUCAACAGUGAACCAAGUCAGUGAUCAAUACUUUGUAUCCAGAGAAUCACAUCACCAACAGAUGGCAACAAGUGGGUGAGCUUUGGUUCACUACCUUUCUCUGCAGCAGCUUCUGCUUGCUGUCUUCUUUCUUGAGCUGCUGCAGUGAGCUGGACAGAAAGGCCAUCACGCCACGGUCCAUGUUCCCGGUUAUUGAGACGACGUGAGGAACUGACUUACGGCCAUCUCGACACUGAAGUGUGUUUAGAAAGACAAAUAAAACUGCAUGAAGAAAAGCAACAGUAGUACGUCUCCAGAGUCUCCUGUCCCCACGGGAAGCUGUAGAUGAUCCUCACACCACGAGACGCCGCCUUCUCGAGUUCCUCCUCUGGGACGUCAUUACUGCUGAAGUCUGAUGGAGACAGGGCAAACUGGAAAGACACAGUCUCUGCCGUGUCCAGUGAUCGAGCCACUGGGAAGAAGUACGAGGAGAGCAGAACCACACCAGAGACGUCUGAGUCAUUUCAGCUGGGCUGCUAGAAGAACCAUUACAUUAUAGUUACAGUAGCACUAGAAAAAACUUUAUUUGAGCCGUUUACCGAUUAAUAUUACAAUGUUGUAAUGAAGCACAGCAAAGCCCUUUCUCAUAAAAGCACAAAUGUCUAUUAUAGCAGAAAACUGGGACCAGUUCGCCCUCUAAUGGUUAAAUAAUGAACAGUGUACAACAAAAUGCAAAUACAGAUUUAAGAUGUUAUUUUACUCAACAUCCACAUUCUUGUCAUUUUAUAACAUACAUGCGCAAAUGACAAACUCAUCAAGCAAUAUUAAGUAUGAAGGAUCAAAUAUAAUAUCUUCUGGAGAAUCUGUAGUGCAAGAGUAAACUUUUUUUUUUACAAGAAUGCAUCGACAAACAGUCAGACAGACAGGAGAUGAAGCCUCACCAACCAGAACCAUCUGAGGGUUGGAAACACAGGCCAGCCUCAGCCAGGCCGAAGGGCAGCUUCCUGUUCACCAGCUCCAACGAGGGGACAAAUUGCUCCAAGGCACCUGUGAAAUAAAAAGACUCUUGUUGCAGA